rnacentral:rRNA from 1 species
GGGGGAUAACGCAGCGAAAGCUGUGCUAAUACCGCAUACGAUCUAAGGAUGAAAGCGGGGGAUCGCAAGACCUCGCGCGAGUGGAGCGGCCGAUAUCAGAUUAGCUAGUUGGUGAGGUAAAGGCUCACCAAGGCGACGAUCUGUAGCUGGUCUGAGAAGACGACCAGCCACACUGGAACUGAGACACGGUCCAGACUCCUACGGGAGGCAGCAGUGGGGAAUUUUGGACAAUGGGCGCAAGCCUGAUCCAGCAAUGCCGCGUGCAGGAUGAAGGCCUUCGGGUUGUAAACUGCUUUUGUACGGAGCGAAAAGGUUCUCUCUAAUAAAGAGGGCUCAUGACGGUACCGUAAGAAUAAGCACCGGCUAACUACGUGCCAGCAGCCGCGGUAAUACGUAGGGUGCGAGCGUUAAUCGGAAUUACUGGGCGUAAAGCGUGCGCAGGCGGUGAUGUAAGACAGAUGUGAAAUCCCCGGGCUCAACCUGGGACCUGCAUUUGUGACUGCAUUGCUAGAGUACGGUAGAGGGGGAUGGAAUUCCGCGUGUAGCAGUGAAAUGCGUAGAUAUGCGGAGGAACACCGAUGGCGAAGGCAAUCCCCUGGACCUGUACUGACGCUCAUGCACGAAAGCGUGGGGAGCAAACAGGAUUAGAUACCCUGGUAGUCCACGCCCUAAACGAUGUCAACUGGUUGUUGGGUCUUUGCUGACUCAGUAACGAAGCUAACGCGUGAAGUGACCGCC